AUACGGAGGGUGCAAGCGUUAAUCGGAAUUACUGGGCGUAAAGCGCGCGUAGGCGGCUUUGUAAGUCGGAUGUGAAAGCCCUGGGCUUAACCUGGGAAUGGCAUUCGAUACUGCAUAACUAGAGUAUGGUAGAGGGAAGUGGAAUUUCCGGUGUAGCGGUGAAAUGCGUAGAUAUCGGAAGGAACACCAGUGGCGAAGGCGACUUCCUGGGCCAAUACUGACGCUGAGGUGCGAAAGCGUGGGGAGCAAACAGGAUUAGAAACCCCAGUAGUCC
rnacentral:rRNA from 1 species